rnacentral:rRNA from 1 species
UACGAAGGGGGCUAGCGUUGCUCGGAAUCACUGGGCGUAAAGGGUGCGUAGGCGGGUCUUUAAGUCAGGGGUGAAAUCCUGGAGCUCAACUCCAGAACUGCCUUUGAUACUGAAGAUCUUGAGUUCGGGAGAGGUGAGUGGAACUGCGAGUGUAGAGGUGAAAUUCGUAGAUAUUCGCAAGAACACCAGUGGCGAAGGCAGCUAUCUGGACCGACAUUGACGCUGAGGCGCGAAAGCGUGGGGAGCAAACAGG